AUUGAACGCUGGCGGCACGCCUAACACAUGCAAGCCGAGCGGUAUUGUUUCUUCGGAAAUGAGAGAGCGGCGUACGGGUGCGGAACACGUGUGUAACCUGCCUUUAUCUGGGGGAUAGCCUUUCGAAAGGAAGAUUAAUACUCCAUAAUAUAUUGAACGGCAUCGUUUAAUAUUGAAAGCUCCGGCGGAUAGAGAUGGGCACGCGCAAGAUUAGCUAGUUGGUGAGGUAACGGCUCACCAAGGCGAUGAUCUUUAGGGGGCCUGAGAGGGUGACCCCCCACACUGGUACUGAGACACGGACCAGACUCCUACGGGAGGCAGCAGUGAGGAAUAUUGGUCAAUGGGUGCAAGCCUGAACCAGCCAUCCCGCGUGAAGGACGACUGCCCUAUGGGUUGUAAACUUCUUUUGUAUAGGGAUAAACCUACCCUCGUGAGGGUAGCUGAAGGUACUAUACGAAUAAGCACCGGCUAACUCCGUGCCAGCAGCCGCGGUAAAAC
rnacentral:rRNA from 1 species